UACGUAGGGGGCUAGCGUUGUCCGGAAUCACUGGGCGUAAAGGGCGCGUAGGCGGCUUUGUAAGUCGGGGGUGAAAGCCCCCGGCUCAACUGGGGAGGGUCACGCGAUACUGAUCGACUCGAAGGCAGGAGAGGGUAGUGGAAUUCCCGGUGUAGUGGUGAAAUGCGUAGAUAUCGGGAGGAACACCAGUGGCGAAGGCGGGUUGCUGGGGCUGACACUGACGCUGAGGAGCGAAAGCAUGGGGAGCGAACAGG
rnacentral:rRNA from 1 species